AAACAAACAGAAGGAAAUGUUUAACAGGACUUUUGAUGGCCC
rnacentral:sRNA from 1 species